GAUGAACGCUGGCGGCGUGCCUAAUACAUGCAAGUCGAGCGAACGGACGAGAAGCUUGCUUCUCUGAUGUUAGCGGCGGACGGGUGAGUAACACGUGGAUAACCUACCUAUAAGACUGGGAUAACUUCGGGAAACCGGAGCUAAUACCGGAUGAUAUUUUGAACCGCAUGGUUCAAAAGUGAAAGACGGUCUUGCUGUCACUUAUAGAUGGAUCCGCGCUGCAUUAGCUAGUUGGUAAGGUAACGGCUUACCAAGGAAACGAUGCAUAGCCGACCUGAGAGGGUGAUCGGCCACACUGGAACUGAGACACGGUCCAGACUCCUACGGGAGGCAGCAGUAGGGAAUCUUCCGCAAUGGGCGAAAGCCUGACGGAGCAACGCCGCGUGAGUGAUGAAGGUCUUCGGAUCGUAAAACUCUGUUAUUAGGGAAGAACAUAUGUGUAAGUAACUGUGCACAUCUUGACGGUACCUAAGCAGAAAGCCACGGCUAACUACGU
rnacentral:rRNA from 1 species